rnacentral:rRNA from 1 species
UACGAAGGGGGCUAGCGUUGUUCGGAAUUACUGGGCGUAAAGGGCUCGUAGGCGGCCAACUAAGUCAGACGUGAAAUCCCUCGGCUUAACCGGGGAACUGCGUCUGAUACUGGAUGGCUUGAGGUUGGGAGAGGGAUGCGGAAUUCCAGGUGUAGCGGUGAAAUGCGUAGAUAUCUGGAGGAACACCGGUGGCGAAGGCGGCAUCCUGGACCAAUUCUGACGCUGAGUGAGCGAAAGCCAGGGGAGCAAACGGG